rnacentral:rRNA from 1 species
UACGUAGGGGGCAAGCGUUGUCCGGAAUCAUUGGGCGUAAAGAGCGUGUAGGCGGCCAGAUAAGUCCGCUGUGAAAUCUCGAGGCUCAACUUCGAGCUGUCGGUGGAAACUGUCUGGCUAGAGUCCGGAAGAGGAGAAUGGAAUUCCUGGUGUAGCGGUGAAAUGCGCAGAUAUCAGGAGGAACACCAAUUGCGAAGGCAGCUCGCUGGGACGUUACUGACGCUGAGACGCGAAAGCGUAGGGAGCAAACAGG